GGCGAGUGGCGAACGGGUGAGUAACGCGUAGGGAUCUGCCUGUUAGAGGGGGAUAAGCCGAGGAAACUUGGACUAAUACCGCAUACGCUCUGAGGAGGAAAGGAUGGGACCGGGUAACCGGCCAUGCGCUAACAGAUGAACCUGCGUUAGAUUAGCUAGUUGGUAGGGUAAAGGCCUACCAAGGCGACGAUCUAUAGCUGGUCUGAGAGGAUGACCAGCCACACUGGAACUGAGAUACGGACCAGACUCC
rnacentral:rRNA from 1 species